rnacentral:rRNA from 1 species
UACGAAGGGGGGCUAGCGUUGUUCGGAUUUACUGGGCGUAAAGCGCACGUAGGCGGGUCGUUAAGUCAGGGGUGAAAUCCCGGAGCUCAACUCCGGAACUGCCUUUGAUACUGGCGACCUUGAGGCUGGAAGAGGUUAGUGGAAUUCCCAGUGUAGAGGUGAAAUUCGUAGAUAUUGGGAAGAACACCAGUGGCGAAGGCGGCUAACUGGUCCAGAUCUGACGCUGAGGUGCGAAAGCGUGGGGAGCAAACAGG